rnacentral:rRNA from 1 species
GAUGAACGCUGGCGGCGUGCCUAAUACAUGCAAGUCGAGCGAACAGACGAGGAGCUUGCCUCGCUGACGUUAGCGGCGGACGGGUGAGUAACACGUGGAUAACCUACCUAUAAGACUGGGAUAACUUCGGGAACCCGGAUCUAAUACCGGAUAAUAUAUUGAACCGCAUGGUUCAAUAGUGAAAGACGGUUUUGCUGUCACUUAUAGAUGUUUCCUCGUCGCAUUAGCUAGUUGGUAAGGUAACGGCUUACCAAGGCAACGAUGCGUAGCCGACCUGAGAGGGUGAUCGGCCACACUGGAACUGAGACACGGUCCAGACUCCUACGGGAGGCAGCAGUAGGGAAUCUUCCGCAAUGGGCGAAAGCCUGAUGGAGCAACGCCGCGUGAGUGAAGAAGGUCUUCGGAUCGUAAAACUCUGUUAUUAGGGAAGAACAAAUGUGUAAGUAACUAUGCACGUCUUGACGGUACCUAAUCAGAAAGCCACGGCUAACUACGUG